AAGUCGUAACAAGGUUUCCGUAGGUGAACCUGCGGAAGGAUCAUUAACACGUAUCCAAACGUUAAAACCCCCCCCGUGAACCUUCAUCCUGCUCUUGUAACCCGCGUAGUUCGCAAUCUCUGAUAAAUCAUAGCCCGGAAAGUUGUAGUGAUAUAGGCAAUGUUUCUCCAAGCAGUCAGUGUCGGAAAGUGUCAUUGAUUGUGCAAGGAUAGCGCUUCUACGAUUCCUGUAGACCGUACACUCGGGCAGGAGCUUUGCCAAAGGGUCCCCAUGCCCCCUAAUAACCCCACAGUUUAAUGCGAAGCUCAAUGUAAUACAUUGGGUAAAAAAACCGAACGACUGUUAACAAUGGAUAUCUUGGUUCUC
rnacentral:misc_RNA from 1 species